CGUUGCCGGGCAACCACUGCCCGCCCCCGCGCGGGGAUUGGCUGUGAGGCCCACUCCCGGCAUGCCCCACGGCUCCCGGAAGACGCGCUCCGGCCUCUGUUUCAAGCCAGCUGGAUUUUCAAAGAUACAUAUCUGGCUUUGGAAUGUUGGUUUGCUGCCUCCCUGCCUCCACUUUUGUGAUAAUGAUGCUGCUAAAGCUGUUCCAUGCCUAUUGGCCAAAUACCCUAAGCUUGUACUUUACCCUAUAAAACCUCAUGCGCACGUCUUGGAGGUGCUCAGAGCUUCGGAGCAGAAGCCUCUCUGAGCCCGCCGGCAUAAUACAUCUGAGUACUCCAA